UACAGAGGUCUCAAGCGUUGUUCGGAUUCAUUGGGCGUAAAGGGUGCGUAGGUGGCGCUGUAAGUCGGGUGUGAAAUUUCGGAGCUUAACUCCGAAGCUGCAUUCGAUACUGCGGUGCUUGAGGACUGGAGAGGAGACUGGAAUUCAUGGUGUAGCAGUGAAAUGCGUAGAGAUCAUGAGGAACACCGAUGGCGAAGGCAGGUCUCUGGGCAUUAACUGACGCUGAGGAGCGAAAGCAUGGGGAGCGAACAGG
rnacentral:rRNA from 1 species